rnacentral:tRNA from 1 species
GGUGCUAUCGUGUAGCGGUUAUCACUUCAGGAUUCUUAAUCUUGAAACCCAGGUUCAAUUCUUGGUUAGUGUCU